rnacentral:tRNA from 1 species
GCUCCCAUGGCAUAGUGGUCACUGCGUCCGCCUUGACACGGGAGACCCGGGUUCGAUUCCCGGCGGGGUUA